UACGUAGGGGGCAAGCGUUGUCCGGAUUUAUUGGGCGUAAAGAGCGUGUAGGCGGCCUGGUAGGUCAGCUGUGAAAACUCGAGGCUCAACCUCGAGACGUCGGUUGAAACCACCUGGCUAGAGUCCGGAAGAGGAGAGUGGAAUUCCCGGUGUAGCGGUGAAGUGCGCAGAUAUCGGGAAGAACACCCGUGGCGAAGGCGGCUCUCUGGGACGGUACUGACGCUCAGACGCGAAAGCGUGGGGAGCGAACAGG
rnacentral:rRNA from 1 species